rnacentral:rRNA from 2 species
UUUAUGGAGAGUUUGAUCCUGGCUCAGGAUGAACGCUGGCGGCGUGCCUAAUACAUGCAAGUCGAGCGAACAGAUAAGGAGCUUGCUCCUUUGACGU